CUUGAUUUUUUGGGGGGUGAAGGCAUAUCCAUGCUGGGACCCACCUGGUGAGGGGCCCAGAAUACGCGCACAUGAGCCAUAAAUCGCAUAUUCAAGCUCCCUGCCUCAGCAUUUCUAGAGAGAGAGAGAGAGAGAGAGAGAGAGAGAGGAUAUCUUUGACGAGGAAUUUCUCGCGGCGGGCAGAUUUAUGGGAGAGCCUACGCUUCUUCACCUUCCUGUGAGGGCAUUUACCGCCCAUUCUUUCUCUUUUGUUUGAUUUUCCUUCCUCUCUUUUGCACCUGCGUUUCUCCCUGCUUCUUCUAUCCUCCCCGCACCGCGUCUUCCGUAAACCCUAGAAAAACAAGACGA